rnacentral:lncRNA from 10 species
GCAGGAGGCAGAGGGAAGAGGUCAGGGGUCACGGGCGCCUGGCAGGAUGGUCAGGGCCUCUGAGCACCGCUUCAGGAGAGCGGCCUGAGGAACUCCAGUGAGGAAAGCCCGUCAAGAGCCCACCCAGGGGUCACACCGUCCUGUGGGACAGAGCCAGACCCCACCCCCCUGCCCAGCCUGCCUGGCCGCUGCCCUCCCGGCGACAGGGCGGAGCCCCUCCGUGCUCUCUCACUGCCCGCUCCACCAUGGCCAGGCGCAAACGCAAACAGUGCUGGGUGCCAAGGGGAGAAUCCAUGCGGAGCCGUCGAGUUCCAUGCACUUCCCGGCCCUCCGCAACCCGGGCAGCUCAGCUGGAAGGCCGCUCCCAGAUCAAUCCCAGCUCCCCGACAGGGGGGCCGGACUGCGACAGUGUGGCGUUCCCAGCGCGGCAACAAAAGUAACCCCGGCGAUGACAGGCGCCCGGCGGUAACAAAAGUAACAAGCGGAGGCCCCGUCGGCCCGCCCCGGGCUCCCGCAGAUUGGGGUUCAGUCGGCACCUUCUACAUGACAUGGUGGAGUGUGCAUUACAUAAAGCCCCCAGGUUACAGACAGGACCCCUGGGGCCAGGAGAGGUGGGUGCCUUGUGAUCUGCGUCAUGGUGAGGAGGACUUCAGGGACAGAUGGCCAGGGAUGUUCCCAGGUGGUGGAGGAGGCUCCACUGGCAGAGAAGCAACGUCAAGCUGAAGACAUUGGGGUGCGAUGGCUGGCCAGGACAGCUUGUCUCCUCGUCCGCACACGGAACGCUGGAUUUCACUCUGUGACCCAGCCAGCGGUCUCAUCUCACAGCCGCAGCUUUCAGCAGGAAGGAGCCCACUGGUGCCUGCCUGACCUACGAGGGCCCGCACCGUUUUGCCCUCCUAACAUUUUGUAUUUGAAGUGCUUGUCACAGUCCACAAAAUAACCACUCAGAAUCUGUUACUAUUUUGUUUAUAUGUUGUAUCAAGUGAAUGUUAAUAAGUCAUCUAAGUGUAUGCUUUAGUUAUAAAUCUUGGAAAAAUAAAAACUUCCUUUUGGAGGAAAAGUGAACUUACUUUGGUAUCAAAAUCACACAACUCCAGGUUGGAUUUUUUUGUGCUUUAAUGUUCGCAGUCACACGAAAGUGGCAUCUCCAUCAGCACUGGGGCGGCCGCCUCCUCAUCAGCCGACAGCUGCACGGUCCCCGCCUCUCAUCCAUUUGCCUGGAUCCCAAAUGCUGCAGCCCACGUAGCGCUAAUCCAU